GGGGCUGUAGCUCAGCCGGUAGAGCACCUGCUUUGCAAGCAGGGGGUCAGGAGUUCGAGCCUCCUCAGCUCCACCA
rnacentral:tRNA from 2 species